GAGAAAUCUCUUCUUUGAACAGAAAAUUACUGUAUGUGAUGUUCCAAAAAAACUAAUUCUAGUUGUUUGAUAGUCAUUCAGAUUUUCUAUAUCCUUAAUGAUUUUUGGUAUACUUCUAUUGAUUGCUGAGAAAUAAAUGUAGAAAUCCUCACAUAUAAGUAUAGAUUUACUUAUUUAUCCUUUUAAAACCCAAUUUUGAUCUAUCUGAAACACUAUAAUUAGGAUAAAUAUUUUGUUUUAAUAGGUGUUCCUGAUAAAUGGAUCUUUUUAUCUUUUUAUCAAAUUUUCUUUGGUAUUUUGGUCUGGUCCACAGUCCUCCACUCUACCAGAAGUGAACACAUUGGAUGUUGCUGAACUGAAAUAUGUUAAGGAAAGAGAGGUAAAGAGAGAAAGGACUUCAUGGAAACUGACAAUGAUGCCUUUUAAAGAAGAAAAAAAUUUCUUAUGAAUAAGAAGAACCCCCUGUAUGAUUAGAAACAAUUUCUGUGAACUAAUCCUUUCUCUCUUGCUUUGACAACUCUAUAAUUGUCAAAUGUGUAAUUCUGUACAAAUCAUGCACCCAGUCUACUUUUCUGCCCCUUACCUAAGUGGGACACAAUACCAACAUUCUCAGUUAGUAUCAACAAACUUCAAGUCCAGUCCUUCUGAG
rnacentral:lncRNA from 1 species